rnacentral:rRNA from 1 species
GUGGGGAAUAUUGGACAAUGGGCGCAAGCCUGAUCCAGCCAUGCCGCGUGAGUGAUGAAGGCCUUAGGGUUGUAAAGCUCUUUCAGUGGGGACGAUAAUGACGGCACCCACAGAAGAAGCCCCGGCUAACUUCGUGCCAGCAGCCGCGGUAAUACGAAGGGGGCUAGCGUUGUUCGGAUUUACUGGGCGUAAAGCGCACGUAGGCGGAUCGUUAAGUCGGGGGUGAAAUCCUGGAGCUCAACACCAGAACUGCCUUCGAUACUGGCGAUCUUGAGUCCGGAAGAGGUGAGUGGAACUCCUAGUGUAGAGGUGGAAUUCGUAGAUAUUAGGAAGAACACCAGUGGCGAAGGCGGCUCACUGGUCCGGUACUGACGCUGAGGUGCGAAAGCGUGGGGAGCAAACAGGAUUAGAUACCCCUGUAGUCC